ACUUUCUCCGUCAUGUCAAACCGUACCUGGCUCUCAGAAGACUGUUUGCUGUGCAGCUUUUUAGAGAGCAUGAUCAGAGGCGAGAGUGUUUUUGCGAUUCUGUGAUCAUUUAAUACUGAUACGCACUGCUACGGACAUCAAUAAUCCCAAGACUGUGAGCGUAUCUCUACCUAUCUUUGCCUUUCUCCUCUACUGGUGUGUUCACAGGUAUAAAUCCAAACUUAAUGAGUUUAUAACGGAUUGUACCAAUCCUACUCUCCUCUGUCAGAGGUAUUUAAGACUAGCUGGAGAUUCUAGGUGUAUUUCACAUGUGUACAAUAUACAACAGCUAUAUGUACAGGACAAAUCGUCUCAACUCUUGAUCCAGAUCCAAUCACUUGAACGUGGAGCACACGUUACCUGUCCAGUCAUAACAAUAGAGGCAGCAAUCUAAUGUUAUUCAAAACAAAUGAAUUUUUCAACAGUAGAUCACAGGUAUUCACUCCAUGUAAAUGUAAAAAGAAUCAUUUACCACUCCAAUUAACACCCGGUCAACACUGCAGCAGUCCGAGAGGAUUUAUAAUUACAUUUUCAGAGGUGCCUGCUUCCCUCAUAAACUCUAUGGAGUAUCAGUGUCAUGUGUACAAUGUUACACAGACCUACAAAACCUUCAGUGGUUACCCUGGAGAAGAUAUCUCCUCCGUUGUAUUCUAAGGGGGAUGCCCUCUCUUCUAUAUAUAGUCCAACCUUUGGAAAAUACAUGAUUGAAAAGGUUUACUAGAGAAGACGGAGAAUCUACUGGAGUGUUAUGAUACGUUACACACAGUGUCCAGUGGCCUGGGAAUCAAAUGUACAUUAUAUACCAAUACUACUGGAACUGUCUCCAUCACACAAGUUUAAAAGUACGAUAACUGAAUCCCAAGCGAGGAAAAAUUUACAAAUGUAUGGAAAAAAUCUCAAAAUACAUCCAAAGGUUGGCAAAACGCCUCAGUUCAGCAGCUGAAGGCCGUCUGUUUCUGCUGAGGAGAGGCAUCGAGGUGUUAGCCAUGUUGACAGGAGAUUAUGUACCCUGGAAUAGUGUUGGAGUAGAUCUCGUCCCCCAGCCUUAUGGAGUAGUACACCCCAGCCUUACGGAGAAAUACACAAGUGAAGGCAGGAUUUAUAGUAAUGAUAAAGGUUAGGUCACUGAUGUCCAACCUAGUCCCUGUCAAGGACAGAAAGUUUCACACACCCGGCAAAACUACUCAGCCGUGUCACACAGUGUAUGGUCAGGACUCCAAAGGAAACUUACUAGUAACCCAGGUAUGUUGGGUACAGCAUUGACACUGUCAGUAUACAGCCUCCACAGAGUCAGAUGUACAGAUUCAUACAGAUCCUAGUCAACAGAGUGUUUCUUAGGAAAAGCUAGAUAUCUGUCACAGUAUCUUCCAAUAAGUGUAGAAUGUUGCAAUGAGAAUCUGUCCAGCUGAUUAUGACAGGCCAAAGACAUUUACAGUAGAUAAUGUCCUGUGUUUGACCGAGACAAGACUUCUGAAUUCACUUAAUGUUACAACCUGCACUCAGGAGAUGAUGGACAACCUGCCUUCUGUUUGGCCUUGGGUGUUGUAUGCACCAUUUACUUAAUACUUACAGGGAGGAAUUAAUCACAAAUCCCAGAUUAUGCAUCUACAGGCCAAAGUAAGGUGAAAAUGGAUAACAACAGACACAAAAUCAUCACAAUGUGAGUUAAGAUAUGGUAGAGGCAUAGGAAACAAGUCACAAAAAGGUGAGACAAUUUAAUAACUAUAAGAUAGUCAGACGAGAUCCUAACAUGAGAAAUGAGAAAGGUGUAUGUCAUUUAAUCUCAGAAAGGAGAGAUAAUUGAGUAAGUAAGAGACUGUAAAAAGUAGGAAUGAGACCCUUAAAUGAGACAUGAGAAAGGUGUAUGUAAUUCAGAUAAAUUUAAGGAAUGUUAGGCAGUUACACUAAACAUACAAUCAAAUUAAGCACAUUAGUUAUUUUCAGCAUGUUUAAAUAAAUGCAAUAUAUACAGAAACUGUAAUUGGUGUUACUUUUUCAGAGCUAUACUUUCAGUGCUAUCAUCAAAUUUCUGCUUAAAUAUAGAUAUACAUUUACAAUGAAAGAAAGUUAAGAUAGGUACAAGAAAGACAAGAUUUGGGCUGUAAUGAUACAUUUUCUCAAGACAUAAUACCAAUCUCAACAUAUACAUGAUGUGGAAACAAAGAGCAGAAUUAGAGGCAACAAGUUGAAAUGAGUUGGUGAGGAGAUCUCCGUAAUCUCAUAUGUGUACCUGGAAAAAAGAUAAGACAGGUGUGAGAAUGGUGAGACAAACGAGUGAAAUACAAGAAAGAUAAGACAGGUGUGAGAAAGGUGAGACAAACGAGUGAAAUACAAGAAAGAUAAGACAGGUGUGAGAAAGGUGAGACAAACGAGUGAAAUACAAGAAAGAUAAGACAGGUGUGAGAAAGGUGAGACAAACGAGUUAAAUACAAGAAAGAUAAGACAGGUGUGAGAAAGGUGAGACAAACGAGUGAAAUACAAGAAAGAUAAGACAGGUGUGAGAAAGGUGAGACAAAUGAGUGAAAUACAAGAAAGAUAAGACAGGUGUGAGAAAGGUGAGACAAACGAGUGAAAUACAAGAAAGAUAAGACAGGUGUGAGAAAGGUGAGACAAAUGAGUGAAAUACAAGAAAGAUAAGACAGGUGUGAGAAAGGUGAGACAAACGAGUGAAAUACAAGAAAGAUAAGACAGGUGUGAGAAAGGUGAGGCAAAUGAGUGAAAUACAAGAAAGAUAAGACAGGUGUGAGAAAGGUGAGAUAAGAAUGGUGAGACAUAUAUAAGAAAAGUGAAACAAAUACGGUAUAAAAAAAUGAGAGAAUUUCAGGUAUGUUAGAAUGAGACAGGUAUUAUAAUGUGAUAUAGAUGUAAGAGAGGUAUAUAUAAGAUCAAUAUAUAUAUAAGAAGGUGAUACAGGUGUUAUAAAUGUGUCAGAAAUUUCAGUUCAGUAUAUAGAUAGAUAUAUAUAAGAAGGUGAUACAGGUGUUAUAAAUGUGUCAGAAAUUUCAGUUCAGUAUAUAGAUAUAUAUAU